rnacentral:rRNA from 1 species
CACGUAGGCUGUUUGGUAAGUCAGGGGUGAAAUCCCGCGGCUCAACCGCGGAAUUGCCCUUGAUACUGCUGGACUUGAGUUCGGGAGAGGGUGGCGGAAUUCCAGGUGUAGGAGUGAAAUCCGUAGAUAUCUGGAGGAACAUCAGUGGCGAAGGCGGCCACCUGGACCGAUACUGACGCUGAGGUGCGAAAGCGUGGGGAAGCAAACA